CCUACGGGCGGCAGCAGUGGGGAAUAUUGCACAAUGGGGGAAACCCUGAUGCAGCGACGCCGCGUGAGUGAAGAAGUAAUUCGUUAUGUAAAGCUCUAUCAGCAGGGAAGAAAAUGACGGUACCUGAGUAAGAAGCCCCGGCUAACUACGUGCCAGCAGCCGCGGUAAUACGUAGGGGGCAAGCGUUAUCCGGAUUUACUGGGUGUAAGGGGAGCGUAGACGGCAGUGCAAGUCUGGUGUGAAAGGCGGGGGCUCAACCCCCGGACUGCACUGGAAACUGUACGGCUGGAGUGCAGGAGAGAGAAGUAGAAUUCCUGGUGUAGCGGUGAAAUGCGUAGAGAUGAGGAGGAACACCAGUGGCGAAGGCGGCUUCCUGGACUGUAACUGACGUUGAGGUUCGAAAGCGUGGGGAGCAAACAGGAUUAGAUACCCGAGUAGUC
rnacentral:rRNA from 1 species